GACGAACUUUGGCGGCGUGCUUAACACAUGCAAGUCGAACGGAAAGGCCCUGCUUUUGUGGGGUGCUCGAGUGGCGAACGGGUGAGUAACACGUGAGUAACCUGCCCUUGACUUUGGGAUAACUUCAGGAAACUGGGGCUAAUACCGGAUAGGAGCUCCUGCUGCAUGGUGGGGGUUGGAAAGUUUCGGCGGUUGGGGAUGGACUCGCGGCUUAUCAGCUUGUUGGUGGGGUAGUGGCUUACCAAGGCUUUGACGGGUAGCCGGCCUGAGAGGGUGACCGGCCACAUUGGGACUGAGAUACGGCCCAGACUCCUACGGGAGGCAGCAGUGGGGAAUAUUGCACAAUGGGCGGAAGCCUGAUGCAGCAACGCCGCGUGCGGGAUGACGGCCUUCGGGUUGUAAACCGCUUUCGCCUGUGACGAAGCGUGAGUGACGGUAAUGGGUAAAGAAGCACCGGCUAACUACGUGCCAGCAGCCGCGGUGAUACGUAGGGUGCGAGCGUUGUCCGGAUUUAUUGGGCGUAAAGGGCUCGUAGGUGGUUGAUCGCGUCGGAAGUGUAAUCUUGGGGCUUAACCCUGAGCGUGCUUUCGAUACGGGUUGACUUGAGGAAGGUAGGGGAGAAUGGAAUUCCUGGUGGAGCGGUGGAAUGCGCAGAUAUCAGGAGGAACACCAGUGGCGAAGGCGGUUCUCUGGGCCUUUCCUGACGCUGAGGAGCGAAAGCGUGGGGAGCGAACAGGCUUAGAUACCCUGGUAGUCCACGCUGUAAACGGUGGGUACUAGGUGUGGGGUCCAUUCCACGGGUUCCGUGCCGUAGCUAACGCUUUAAGUACCCCGCCUGGGGAGUACGGCCGCAAGGCUAAAACUCAAAGGAAUUGACGGGGCCCCGCACAAGCGGCGGAGCAUGCGGAUUAAUUCGAUGCAACGCGUAGAACCUUACCUGGGUUUGACAUGGAUCGGGAGUGCUCAGAGAUGGGUGUGCCUCUUUUGGGGUCGGUUCACAGGUGGUGCAUGCCUGUCGUCAGCUCGUGUCGUGAGAUGUUGGGUUAAGUCCCGCAACGAGCGCAACCCUUGUUCACUGUUGCCAGCACGUUAUGGUGGGGACUCAGUGGAGACCGCCGGGGUCAACUCGGAGGAAGGUGGGGAUGACGUCAAGUCAUCAUGCCCCUUAUGUCCAGGGCUUCACGCAUGCUACAAUGGCUGGUACAGAGAGUGGCGAGCCUGUGAGGGUGAGCGAAUCUCGGAAAGCGGGUCUCAGUUCGGAUUGGGGUCUGCAACUCGACCUCAUGAAGUCGGAGUCGCUAGUAAUCGCAAAUCAGCAACGCUGCGGUGAAUACGUUCCCGGGGCU
rnacentral:rRNA from 1 species